GGGAGUUCGGGCGAAACCUUCCAGCAGUCGAGGUUGGGGACGAAAUCCAGCUCCCGUAGGAGUCCGGUUGAAGACCACCUGCAAUCAAGGCCAGGGACGAAGUCCGGCUCCCGUAGGAGUCCGGAUGGAGUUUACCUGUAAGUGAAGUCGUGGGCGAAGCUCGGCUCCCGUGGGAGUCCGGGCGAAGCCUUCCCGUAGUUGAGGUUGGGG
rnacentral:lncRNA from 1 species